rnacentral:lncRNA from 1 species
GGAACCGGGCCCUUGACUUUGUCGAGACGAGGUUUCCCUCUCACUUUCGAGACAAUUUGCUUGGAUUGUCCUAUGGAUGUAGGAUAGUGCCAAAGACAUGUAGAUGUACAACUUUUAGUUAAAAUGAAGUGGUAGUACAUUCGUAAGUUCUCCGAGCUCCAUGGUCGCGAGAGGUCAGCUCCUCCGAGCUCCUUAAGAUAAUAAGUUCCGGGCCGAACUACUUCUUUGACCUCAUAUGGGCCUUCCUAUUUAGGGGCGAGCUUCCCACGGUCCUGAGGCUG